rnacentral:pre_miRNA from 1 species
CGCCGUUUGUCGUUGAGAUAUGUUUGAUAUUCUUGGUUGUAUUUGCUAUCACCCGAGAAUCAAACAUAUUACCCAACGAUGGCGGCA